GUUGGAGAUCUCUGUCUACCUGAGGCCUUCUGAAGCAAUGGUAGGAGCAUGUGAAAAGAUCCUUGAAGAUGCUGCCUGGUCCUGCCUUGUUUCCAGAGCUUGUGGAGGGGGAGAAGGUAUGAAGACAAAUGAUCCAAGGGACACCCCAGGGAGGAACACCGUGCAAAGGCUGCUUGAUGCACUGAAGGGUGACAGGUGGCCCUUGUGAUGAAGAAUGCUAUCACUACAGAUCACCUUUCCUCUUGGGCCAUUUUGCCUCUGUGUAGUGACAGUCUUCACUAGGUUGGCUUGUCCAGCAGAAGUCUGUCCUCAUCCUGAAAGCAUCAUCAUGUGAUUUCCAGCCUUAUCCUGGGAGUCCCAAUAGCUCUCUGUCUCUUGUAGGACAGGAUCUUGAUUGUAUGCUGGGGAAGGCAAUCCAUGUGUGCUGGCCAGGACAGCAUUGUUGUAUACUCCCAGUGCUGUGCCUGUUUGAAGGACAGGGUAUGGAACAUGCCUGGAAUCUGGGCUGUCUGCAGCACAGAUGCAUUGAAUUUGAAACCAUAUGUCAAGUGCUACAGUGCCGGAAUCCUUUAUAUGGAGUAGAAGGAGGUUGUCUUAUUUAUCUUUUCUUCCUUAUUUGUUUCAGAAGCCUCUUUUCUUUCUUAUUUUGCUUUUUUCCAUUGCAAUUCAUUUAUUCUAAAACCUGAAGAAUAAUCCUCAAGGAAGGGGAGAUGAUAUUUUCUGUUACCGCAUCAGUUGAUAUACCCUGCCAGGUCCUAUACUCUAUGGUGGUAAUGUUAAAUCUGAGACCUAAAAUCCCCUCAAGGUUUAAAGUCACUUUGGCCAAGCAGCAUACAUCGGCCCCAUAGCACAAAGGGCUGUAAUGGAAAGAGAAGCAAUUUGUGUGUAUGUGUUUGCAGACUUCAUACAUUCAAAGAGAUGUAAUGUUGAAAGGGAAGAGCAAGAGAAUUCAGUAUCAAUGAGCAGAGAUAGAUGAGCCCUGUGCACGUCAUUUUUCAACACGGUACAAAACAAACUACCAGGAGCUUUUGUAAAUUCAUUGAAAAUGGAAAGGAAUCGGCUUUGUUUGUUUGUGCCAAGUAUUACUUAACUCACACUUGAUCUUCCUGGGAGAUGUUAAAGGAAAGUCUUUAAAAUCUGCAGUGACUUAACCUUACACAAGACAUCCUGAGUUGUGCUGAGUUCAAGCAUGCAGAAUGGAUCAAUCAAGCUUGCAGAAUGUCUGUUCAGUUGUUCCUGUGCAUUUCUUUUUCAUUUAUCCUGGCAAAGCAGAACUUUGCCAUCAGAAAUGUAUGUACCGCAUGUGGAAUG
ensembl:lncRNA